rnacentral:lncRNA from 1 species
GCUCUCCCUCAGACACACUGGAGGGAAAGGUCAAACUAAAGGCGAGGGAGCAGAGAGACCGGAGGGAGCCGCUGCCGCCGCCGCGCGCCAUGACGGACGCGGCGGAGGCUGCUUUCUCAGUGCGGACGCCGCCGAUCCCCAGCUCUCGCCGCGCCCCCUGCCCCCCGCCCCUCGCGCGCCCCUCACCCUGGCGCUGGCGCGUCCCCGCGCCCUCUCCCCCGGCCGCUCCAGGCGCGCCUCGGGCUCGGGGCGCGGGGCGCUGGGAGCGGGAGGGUGGGGGCCGCGGCGGGCCGGCGGCCUCCUCGCCCGACCCCCGACCCCGGGCCAGGUGAGUGCCUUGGGGCGGGAGAGGGCGUCCGGAGCGGAGAGGACACCGGGCGCUCAGCCCCCCGCCUGACCCCCUUCCGGGGCGCUGACAGGCUCUCGGGACACGGCCUCUGGGGGGCGUCGUGGGGUCACUUGUGUCGGGGGGUGCUUUUUUGGCGCCCCCGUCCCUCAGGGUCGGGCGUCCGAGUCGUGGGGGGCUCGGGGCCGGGAAGUGGGCGCUGCGGUGCGGCCCUGGAGUGCAGCCGCGGCGACAGGGUAUGGGGCGGGCGGCGGGAGGCAGGUGGGCCCCUCCCCGGGGCUCGUGAAGUGGGGGGACCGGGCGUGGGGGCCGCGGGAAGCUUUCGGGAAAUGUUUAUCCGGCAGUUGCAAGAAACUCUGCCCUCGGGACGAGGCGCCUUGCUUUUUGCCGGGGCCAGCGAAAGUGGCGGAUUUCACAGCAAAACUCGGGUGAAGCCAGGCUGGACCGGCCGGGAGUGAGAGAGGCCGGGAGCACCCGUCUGGAUGGGGACCAGAGAUGAACGAAUCCGCCUGUGUGUAGCACCAGGGCAUGAUGUGUGCACGUUGCUAUGCCAGUGUUUAAUGUUUGUUGCUUAUGGUUAUUUUAGGACUAAAUGAUAAAAAAGUUACUUGGGAGAGAGGGAACUGCUUGAUUUGACAUGAGUUCUUCACUUGUGCAUGCAGGAAAUACAUUAAUCCUGUACACACACAACUGAAUUUAUGUCCAGUGGACUUUACAAAUAAUAUACACAAAAUUCUAAAGCCCCGAAGCAAGGUGAUGUGUGUCUGAAGAGUUUCAGGUGUCAGGCUCCGUGUUCCGUGGGAACAAAAUAGGAGGACACCGAAGUACUUGAUAUGCCCAAGCAGUCAUCUUUUUGUAAUAAGCUUUGGAUACCAUCAAAGUGGAGUUUAGUUGUAACUGCCAGGGUUAAGUAAUCGCAUUGACCCGGUGCCACCCACCAGUUUGGAGCUUCUCUGAAAGUAAUUUACGAGACAGUCCUGUGCUGAUUGUGAAUAACCAGUGCUUUUGCUGAUUUUUUUCCUGUUUAAUUUUACACUGUCAUCAUGUAUGUGUAUGCUACCUGUUUACCAAACGUUAGAAUGAAUUAUCCAUAGUUAAACUCUCCACUAAAUCACUAAAUCAGGUACUAGCUGUGGCAUGUCUUUAAAAAUAUAUAUAUUUGAAUGUUACCUGGAAAUUACCGAUAUAAUGGUUUCAAGCUGAUAGGGAUUUUUUGAACUUAAGUCUAGCAUAAACAUUAUCCCAAGUGGAUGUGUUUUAAAAUUUAAAUCUCAUCUAAGAAAACUUCCUGGUUUGUGAAAGGUGCAGGAUUGUGAUGAUAGCUGAGGAAAUGCCAGAGAGAAUUUUUGGUAGAGAAUAAGAGAACAACCUGUGAAUUUGGUGUUAACCAGCAGUCUCGGCAUAUACUCACUUGCUCCUUACCUAAGCAUUUCUGAUAUGUGGGUGCUUUUUCUGUUGAUUAUGUAUCUUUGGUUAUUUGUCAUUUUCAAAAAGUUUCCUCAACAGAGGACCCUCACUUUGAAAUUGAGUCCUUGUGGCAUGUAGCCGGGAUACCAAAAGUUUUCAGUACCAGAUGCAGAGAGAGAUCAGUCCGUUUGGGAUCUUGUUAAUUCUUUCUGUGCAGCUACUUUUGUGCUGUGAGGUCUCUUUUACAUCUUGCUCCUAUUGGCCAUAGCUGACAUAUGUCUGUAUACAGUCCUGUAGUGGGGUACUUAAUUGUUACAACCUGAAAAGAUUAUUUCUUGUAAUAUAUAAAUAAAUUUUUAUGUUUUUCUCUCUUCUCUCUUUUUCAAGGGAACUGUAGAAUUGGACAAAUCAACACUUAGCAUGUCCCCCUCCUGUAGGUCUUGUUGACCUUGGUGGCAUCGUGGAGGUCAUAUGUUCAUGGAGAUAAACAGUUCUUGAACGGUUUACUCCAGGUGGUAAAAACACAUGGGAAAGUGAUUUGGGCUGUGCGUAUCUUGGUUUUUUAAAAAAUCAUUUUUAUCGAGCGUUUAUUGUGAUCAUGGCCAAAAAUAAAAUAAUUCUUUGACUUUUUUUGAAAUACUAUACACACAUUUCUAUAUUACAUUUUUAAGAAUUGCUUAUUUUUCAAUUUUUCUAGUAUUUCUUGUAUAUUCUACCACAGGUGAACAACUCAUUUUUUGGGUGACAUUUUUAGAGCUUGCUUGAGGGGCACUAGAAAGAAGGGCAGUAAUGUGAUGUGAAUGUUUCAGCUUAUGAAAACAGCUGUGCUCUACUUUAAGAAAUUUGACAUUUAAAAGUGUAAGAUUGCAAAACAAAUUAAUUACUAGUUGGUUAUAUUAUGUGAGAAUUUUAAAAAAGGGAUUCACUAAAAGUUGUUUUCAAAUACUUAAUCCCUUUAAAUGGUAUUUAUCUAAUGUGAUUUGAUUUGUGAAUAAUCAGUUGGCAUACAACAAUUUAGGAACAGAUUUUUGGCAUAUGUAAGGGUUAUCAGUGUGUUCUUUGAGUUCUCUCUUUACCAAAAGUAUUUGGGGACAAAGUUAAAUUCAGUGUUGUUCCACUUAUAUGCCACCUAUAAUGGUUUAACUGAGUGGGAAAAUUGUCAUCUGAUUUAUCCCAUAUCAUUUAAGGCAGCGGUGUCCAAUCUUUUGGCCUCCCCGGGCCACGUUGGAAGAAGAAGAAUUGUCUUGGGCCACACAUCAAAUGCAUUAACAAUAACUAAUGAGCUUAAAAAAUUGCAACAAAAAUUUCAUAUUUUUAGAAAGUUUACACAUUUGUGUUGGGCCUCAUUCAAAGCUGUCCUGGGCCAUGGGUUGGACAAGCCUGAUUUAAGGAGUACAUUGAAGCCUAAUUAAAAUGCUUUUCACCAUUGAGUAAAACUUUAUGAUCAGGUUUGUCAGGAACCUCAUCCAAGGUAGUUUAGUUAGUGGAGUAUCAAAAGCACCUUGUUGUCAGACACUCUCACUAGGACAGUGGUCCCCCAGCAGAGGCCAACAAGCAGUUAUACCCAAACUUCAGCAAAAUCAAAAUAAGUAGAUUUGGUCUAAAGUCCACAAGCAGUAAAAACCGUUACCUUGAAAUUUUCUGUAGGUGCAAAUUAUUCUUCAGAAUUAAAGGCUUGAUUUUCCUAAGCUGUAAUUCUGUUUGAGUCACUUGUGAAAAAUGCUAUUUUGGUAAAAGAACAACUAUGUAUUCUUUCAAAGGAGUUUUUUCCCUUUGUGUUAAUGCAUUUGCGUUUAUUUGGAAUUGCAGGAGAUGAUGAAUGAAGUACUUGGGAAGUUUAAUUCAGAAAUCAUUUUGCUUUGCUUAUGUAGAAAAAAAAGGAAUGUGAGUUAAUAGGAGAACUUAUUUGUGGGUUAGUUCGUACUUCAUGUGGGGAUAAGGAGGAAAGGGAGGAAGUAGCUGCAAACUUUAUUAAGGAUAACUAAUCAAGUUUCAUUUGAUUUAUACUGUUCAUGCCUGGCUUGGGUAACAGUGACGCCUUCACCUUUUCCUAGUUUUCGAGAAAUUUUAUUCUUAGAGAAGGGGUUUGAAGGAUAAGAGCUAAGCAUCAGGGCAUACAAGAAGUAAAAAAUAUCUUCAGAAUGCUUAAUAGUAUUUUGUUUUGUUUUUAUACAUUAGAAAGCAAGAAAUUAUUUUAAUACUGAAUAUGGGUCAAAAGCCCAACUUCGGGAUACUGGGCACGGUUUCAUACCUCUUAGCAUAAUUGAAUAUUAUAAAAAUGGAAGGAACAGCUUGAAUGGUGCCAUUGAUUUUUUUAGUACAGGCUCUUAGUUCCUCAAUUGAACAAAUGAGUAAAAAUGAAGAUUAAAGAAGAGAUGAUAUUAAAAGAAGUGUUUUCCAUUUUUUAAAAAAUCCCAAGGGACUGUCUCAAAUGACUGUUAAUUUCAGAACAUAGAUUAAAAAGUACAUUACAUUGGAUUUAUGAUUAAUGAGGACACAAUUACAAUUUUUAAAAAAUACAUGUAAAAAAGGUGAGUAUACUACUGCAGUUUACAAAUAUUUGUGCCAAGAUACGUGAGGCUAGUGGUAAUGAUUAGAAAUUAUAAUUGGAAGUGAAGACUGAUUUAUGUUCUCAAUUUCAUUAUUUAAGCCAAUGUCACUUUUAAAAUGUCACUUAAUUUUUCUAUUCCCAAUGUUCUUUUCAAUAAAAUGCAGUCAUUAGUGCACCAUACUUUAUGUAAACUGGGGUUUCAAAAUAAUAUUAACUAGAAUUUUUUUUUUUUUUUUUUUAGACAGAGUCUCACUCUGUCACCCAGGCUGGAGUGCAGUGGCGCGAUUUUGGCUCAAUGCAACCUCCGCCUCCCGGGUUCAAGCAAUUCUCCUGCCUCAGCCUCCCAAGUAGCUGAGAUUACAGGCACCCACCACCACGCCUGUCUAAUUUUUGUAUUUUCAGUAGAGACGGGAUUUCACCAUGUUGGCCAGGCUGGUCUCAAACUCCUGACCUCAGGUGAUCCGCCCUCCUGGGCCCCCCAAAGUGCUGGGAUUACAGGUGUUAGCCCGUGCCCAGCCAAUUUACUAGAUUUCUUAAGCAUAAAAUAUUAUCUAAUAAUAUGUAUAUGUAUGUCCACUACAUGGGAUUUUUAAAAAGUUUAGAUUUUGUGAUCUGCAGAACUGUAGGCAACAGUUCUUAAAAAUAAGAAAGGCUGAGUUCAGGCCAGGCGUGGUGGCUCAUGCUUGUAAUCCCAGCACUUUGGGAGGCCGAGAUGGGCAGAUUGCCUGAGCUCAGGAAUUCAAGACCAGCCUGGUGAAACCCUGUCUCUACAAAAAUAACAAAACAGUUAGCUGGAUGUGGUGGCACACGCCUGUAGUCCCAGCUACUUGUGGGGCUAAGGUGGGAGGAUCGCUUGAGCCCAGGAGGUUGAGGCUGCAGUGAGCCGAGAUCACGCCACUACACUCCAGUCUGGGAUGACAAAGCAAGACCCUGUCUCCCUCUCCGGACACCCCUAAAAAAGAAAGGCUGAGUUCAGAGUUUUAGUCAUGGGUGACCCUAUAAAUUGCAAUUUCUUUUUCUCCCUAAAGGGUUUUCUUUCACUAUUACAUGUUUGUGUUUUCCUGAUUCCACUCAUGCUACUGUUAGGUGUUGGAUCAUCUUACCUAUAGCGUCAAUACAAAGUUCAUUUGUAAAAACUGUUCCGUUUAUUUUCUCCCAGCUGUUUCAUCUGAGAAUUUUGUUUGAAUUUCAGUUGCCAAAUGUAGUUUAAUCGGUUACUCUAAAUAGAAAGGUUAUUGCAAUUUUCACAAACUAGGGGAAAUAUAAAUUUAUCUUAAGUUUAUGAACAUUUUUAUAUUCCUGUGGGGACAACUAAGCACAGUAUGUAUAAUUUAAUAUCUCUGUUGGCAUUUGUUCUAAGUUAAAUUUAUUUGCUGUAUUGUUAAAAUCAAUGUAGUAAGGUGUACAGUCUUUUAAAAACAAAUCUGUUUCUCUGUGGAAUAUUUUUCAAAAGGACCUGAAAAACAUGCUCUUAAAUAGAUGGAGUGGAAAUUUUACUAUUAAAGUGAAUGUAUAGUUAAAUGUGUGAUACUGGUAUUGUUUUGAUUGUUUUUAUUUUACAUGUGAGGAUUUUUUACAUGUUUCUGUGGAACUACUUUUAAGUAGGUUUUAAUUUUGAUUUAUAAACAAGCUUCUCUAAAAGAAAAAAGUUGUUUUGUUCUUCGUGAUUAUAUGGUAGUCCUCAGACUUUUGUAGUUGAAAGAAGUAGAAAUGAGUGAUUUAUUAAGCUGUUUAUGUAAAAUGACUAGUUGGAGCAGGUGAUGUAAUUUAUUUUUACUAUAAUGUGCAGAGAUGUCUUUAUCCCAAACAAAUUUAUAGCUGAAUCGUUUGCUAUUUUUUGCAAAUUUAGGGAAUCUGGAAUGUGCCCAGAAAUGAACUGAUUGCCAAGUGUUCGAUUGAGUAAAUAUCAUAUGGAAAUGGUUUUUUGCUUGUAAUGACAUAUUGUUACUGAUUAAGGACCAUUUCUUUUCUUUUUUUUUUUUUUUGAGACAGAGUCUCGCUCUGUCGCCCAGGCUGGAGUGCAGUGGCGCAAUCUCGGCUCACUGCAAGCUCCGCCUCUCGGGUUCACGCCAUUCUCCUGCCUCAGCCUCCUGAGUAGCUGGGACUACAGGCGCCCGCCACCACGCCCGGCUAAUUUUUUUGUAUUUUUAGUAGAGAAGGGGUUUCGCCAUGUUAGCCAGGAUAGUCUUGAUCUCCUGACCUCGUGAUCCGCCCGCCUCGUCCUCCCAAAGUGCUGGGAUUACAGGCAUGAGCCACCGCGCCCAGCCUGAGGACCAUUUCUUAAGUAUGCCUGUAAGUAAAUAUACUACACAUAUUGGUCAAAUGAUGUAUUGACAGCUUUAAUUUGUAGCGUAUGCUUCUCUCACUCCUUUUUCCUUUUAGUAAUUGUCAAUAGUUUGUCUUCAGCCGUAUUCUGUGAGUGAACUUCUAAUGCGCUGAUAGAGUGCUCCAGGGUUGUUGUUUUCUAAUGUUUUAUCUGAUGGAGUAAAGAAAUAACUAUCUGAGAUCCUUGUGUAACUCUUAUUGUGUGUUAAACAUUGUUUUGAACAUUUCUUUUCAAUCUGUUAAUUAUAAAGCAGAUGAUUCUUUAAAAAUUCUUAAGACUGAGUGAUUGUGUUCCCCACAAAUGUUAGUACUGGGAGGGAAGGGGGUAAAGGUAAAGAGAAAGAUCAUAGGGAUUAGUUUAGAUUGUAUAAAGUAAGUGUAAUUGUUUCGUUCUAAAACAUGUUGAGCUAAUCAUUGUAUGCCUUUUCCCUGGGAUUAUAACCUUGAUUUUUAAUUCACGCUUCUCACUGUGAAGAGUCAGGAGUAGUGAAUUGUAAGAGAGGCAUAUGUACCUCUUUAACCAGUUUUACAUGUUAUUGCUGGGAAUAUUAGAUGGCAAUAAGGAAGACAAACAGUUUCACAAUGAUGAUCAUUUUUAGUAAUCACAUUUAGAUUUCCAAAUUUUAUAAGGUGGAAGAAUAGACACCAUAGUUAUAGAUGGAGAAGGGCUUUUAGACAGAAGGUCAUUGUUAGGAAAAUUCAAGUUUACCAAUCUUGGAAAAAAAAUUACACUUAUGCCAGUUACAUUCUAUGCCUUACAGCACUGCACUGUACCAGUUUUGAAUAUUCUGUGUCCAUAAAUACACUAGUAUUUGUCCAACCAUGAAUUCUGACUUUUAGGUUAGAAAAUGUGUUCAUUUAAAUGAUAGUUUUAACUUGAGUGAAAAAGCUGGUAAUUUUUAUCUUCUUUUUUCUGUAUUAUAAUUUUUUGUCAUUAAUUUUGAAGAUCUCAUGCUAUAUGAUUAGUUCUGUAUAUGACUACUUCUGUAAUUGAUGAACAACUACUAGAAUGAAUUAUUGUACUUGAGCACUUAGAAUCAUGUCAGGAGAGGCAUGAAGUAAGUAGAACAUAUUUGUGUAGAGAUAAUAAUUUUACUUUCUAAAGCAGUGAUUUUGAAACUCUUGCUGAGAGUGUGCUGGAGGAAGUCAAGCAUUUCAUCCCGGUUUCAACCAGUGCUGUUUUAUUUUGAUUAAUUUUAAGCGUGGAAGUUUGCAUAGUAUUUCAGUUGAGCAAGGUUCUGUUGUUUAAAAAUACGAUAGCCUCUAUUGUUACCAUAUUUGCUCUUAUCACUUGCCUGCUUAAAUCCUUGCUAUUUUUUUAUUGUUAUUACGACUGAUAAGACUUUUCUUUCCCUAGCUCCAACUUUAUUCUUUAUCUCUGAUCACUUUUUCCUUUCCAUGUAAACCCUGCAUUCUAAUUCUACUUAAAUUGUUUGAUGUUCCCUGAGAGGAAAAUGUUAUUUUUACAUCUGCAUGCCUUCGCACAUGGAACUGCCACCAUUCUCACUUGAGCUAGGCAGCACUCAAUUCCCUUGGAACCUUGGUCAUCUUUCCAUAAAAGCAGUUAUUACAUUGUUUUGUAACCGUGGCCUCCCUUGAGAGCAGAGACCAUCUAAUUUAUCUUGUAUUCAUACUACUUGGUGUUUAUUCAGUAUUCAAAUGUCUGUUGAAUUAUUGCAUUUAGAAUUUGAGAAGUAGUAAAAUUACUUUAAUAAACACUAAUGUGAAUAAAAUAUCCCAGAUCUAGUUCUGUGCAAAAGAGUUUUAGUGACAGUGUCCGACAUUAUGCUAAAUAUAUAAAAGGCACCCAUUUGCACUUAUCAUGAAGUAUAAUAAAUCCAAAAUAUUUUUUUAAAUUAUAUUAGAUUCUAAUGGCUUAAGUGAUAUCUUAGAUUCAGUGAUCUGAUCUUAAAAGUUGAUUGUGAAAGCAUUUUAAUAAUUCUAUACAGCCUUGGCUGCCUGUGAUAAUAUUUCAUAUGCGAUUAAAGCUGAUAGACUUAAAGGGGCCUUCAAGUGUCAAGAUAUGUAAUACAGCAAUACCAACUCUAAAGGUAGAAUGAAACCUGGAGCUAUCCUGCCUGAAUUCCUAUCACUCUCCUGUCUCUCAGUAGCUGUGUUGUCUUAGGCAAGUUACUUAACCAUUCUAUACCUCCUUUUUCUCAUCAGUAAAAUGAACACAAUGAUAAUAUUACUUUAUAUGGCUGUGGGGAAGAGUAGCCAGGAAUUAAUGUAUAUAAGCACUUAAAAGAAUGCCUGACAUACAGAAAAUACUCAAUACAUGUUAACUGUAAUUAAUUUGAAGUGGCUUCUUAAAUCAAUAUUUAUUGUGCAUCAUUUUCAUCUUUUAAAGAUAAUUGCUUUAAUACUUGAGUAUCUAAUUUUUUUUAAACUUAAGAUUUUUAGUUAGUUACUGUGUUUUAGACUGGCAACUGUUUCAGUACUUUCCAAAACUGCUAUCUCUACUGAGGUAUUGUCCUGUCUCCCAGUGAAAUGUAGGCUGUUCCCGUUGGAUGGAUUGACAUGGGAGAUUUGAAACUAGUUCUCCUGAUUUCUGAGCUUAUCAUUGAGUUCCCAUGACCAGGUGUUGGUAGUGUCCACAACAGAGCAGGAAGAGAAAUAGUACAGAAUUCCAGUGGCAAGUUCUUAAGCCUUAACCUGUACUUUAAGUCAGUCCUAAACUUUCAUAUUCCUUAGUAGAGAACAGAUGUUCCCCUUUUUUUCCCCCACAUUUUCCUUUUUUGGCUUGGGGGAAUAGAUUUUUUAAAAAUCUGAAUUUAUAUUCCAAAAAGGCAUGUGCAAGUUAAUUUUCCUAAGUCAAUGAAGCCGCUUUUUAAUCUUACUUUGUAAGAUGCAUACCUGCAGUGAGAGAAGUAGGUAGGGCUUUAGUAAUUUGUGUCAGGGACCAUGUCCUAUUAAAUCCUGUGAAAAUAUGCACAUGUAGUACACAAAGAAAAAUUUAAGGGAAGAAGAGUUUUUUCCAAGUUAUUUUAUAAAGUAUUCUUUAUAAAAGUAUAUUUCUUGUAAUAAUCCCCCAUCUGUCCUUCUAGCCCACCUUUACUUUCUCACACUUAUGCUCUCAUAACAAUUAAAAUAUAAUCAAAGUUACUUGGGUAACUUAAAAAAUUUUCAUUAUAGGAAGGAAAUGUGUUUUGAAAAUCAGAAAUUUUUCAAAUUUUAAUAAAUUUUAGUGUUUUUUAUGCAAGCUGUGAGUUGAAGAUGAGGGGCUGGGAUAUAAAGCUAAAUCGGGUACUUAUCUUUAUUACUUAUGACCUACUAGGGUGUCCAGAGUAUGCAGAGAACAUAUGGGAAUUUGGAAGCUGGGAAUGGAGACUGGAAAAGUGCUGGAUUUUGAAUAGUGCCAGGAAAUAAAGGAAGACUUAGCAAGGGAUCAUUUUUCAAUGCCAGUGACAUGCUGUGUAAUAGUCUACCAUGGGAAAUUUGAAUGCUUAUACGAUUGGUCAGUAUACUAAUAUUGUCUUGUAAUUUGAACACUAACUCUUAAUAUUAACAAAUUUUUUUCUCAACAGCCAUCGUAGGAACUUUUAAAAUAGGUUUUGCAUUUCCCCUGAAAAUGGUGAGUUAGGUCAUAUUAGGAAAAAUAAAUUCUAGAAUAAAUACAAUUUUGAUUAAACCGGUUUUCUCUAUAAAAACCCAAGACGCUGUAUCUAUCUUUAAUGUUAUCUAUUGUUAAAAUUUCAUUUCCCUCAACAGCAUGCAUUUCCAUGUUUAUUAGACCAAACAACUUCUUGUUUUACUUCUUACCUUUGUUUUUCCUUGUUGUUGUUAUUUAAUUAGAAAAGAAAUGCUGUUUGGGCCUUUUCAUAUGCCUCAAAAAUGUUUGGUUACACAGAGGAGUGAGUUAGAUUUAUAGGACUCACACCCAAUUUGAUCUCCUCAAGUGCAUUUCUAACCAUGUUUUCAUCCACUUUUCCUUGUUUUAGGUUUCUCAUAGAAACAGCUUUUCAUUGAGCUAAAUGUAUUUCCUCUCUUACUCGUUCUUGGAAAUCUAGGACUAUGUAUGUGAAACUUCUUAUUCUUGUACACAAUAACUCUUAAGUAUUUGAAAAUGACUGUUCUACUUCAGUCUUCUUUUUUGCCAAACUGAGGGAAAAAAUUCUUUUUUUUUUUUUUAAACCGCAUGCAUGUGACAUGGUUUACAGACCUUUCCCCAUCUAUAUCGCUCUACUCAUGACAAAGUUUUUGUCAGUUUACCUCUGAAAAUACAGUGGCCAGAACUGAACUGACUACUUCCGAUGUGGUCUGACCAUUGCUGAAUACAGUGAAGCUAUUAUCUAGGAUACUGUGUUUCUAUUAAUGUAGUCUGAAAUUUGCAUUGCAUUUUUUUGGCAGCCACAUUACCCUUUGAUCACAUUCAGCUUAUAAUCAACUAAAACCUUGUCUUUUUUUCAUGUGAAUUACUUUAAGUCUAAUCUUUGUCACUCUUUACUUGCCAGUUGAUGCUUUGAAAGUAAAUGUAGGAUAUUAUGUAUUGCAUUACUAUAAAACUUUAAAUGAAUUUAUAUAUCUGAAGAUAUCACCAUUUGUAUAAAAUAGCACAGUUUUCAUGGUGUUUUCACAUCUAUUUAAUCUUCACAACAACCAUCUGAGAAUCAGAAAAACUGACUUUCCACUAAGUCUAGAAUUGGCACAUGUAGAACUUCAUUGCAAGCUUUUUGAUUCCAGAUCUCAUGCUCAUCUCAUCAUUAUUCAUUCACUUAAUAUGCAUUUAGUGUGUCCAUUCAUAUAUGGUAGGCACCAUGUGGUGCUGGUGUGUCAGGGGCGAGACACAUUACAGUCUCUAUCCUUGUGUUUAUGAUCUGGUGUAUAAAUACUACCAAUUACUAGGCACUUUUCAUAAGGAAGGCACUGUGGUAGACUAUUAUUUCAAAAAUAUUUAUUGCUUCUCUCUAUCAGGGUUCUUUCUGUAGUCGGAUUAUACUUCUUAUUCUGUUGACAUCAGGUUUGACCAUUUGGCUUUCCUUGACCAAUAAAAUGUUAAAGUGACAUGUCCCAUGUUUGAGCAGAUAUUUUUCAUCCUGUGGUUCUGCCAGUGGCCCUUGACCCUCUGUCAUGGAACCAGCAUGACUUAGCUAUGGCUGGUCCCAGAAUAAUGGAGCAGAGCUGAAGCCAAUCUGUGAUAAGCAUAUAAGUGUGAGAUAAAUACUGUGCUGUAAGGCACCAUGAUUUUGGACAUUUGUUACCAUAGCAGAAUAUAGUUCAAGCGAUGAUACUGGCAUCACUCAAGGUGCUGUAUGAUGAUGAUAAGACUUGGGCAUUGUCCUAAAGGAGCUUACAGUCUUGGUAGAUGUAUUACAUUUCCACAGGUUAUUGGGAGUUGAGGAAAAGGAGAGUAAUAUUACAUAAGGAUCUUUGAAGUUGAGGAUCUUUCCUGACCUCCAUCUCAUCCCUAGGCUGAAUCAGUCAAUAUGUUUUAAACCCUGGGUUUGUGAUCCACUACUCACUGUCACAACCUCUUAUUGUCCAAAAUUUGAUAGGCAUAUUUUCUAUGCCCUCAUUCAAAUCACCUUUUUUAAAACAAACAUUUAAGAGGAUGAACUUCUACAGAAUUGUGAUUAUAAGCUUCCUUCAUAAAUCUAUUAAUCAGCAUUUAAUAGCAAGCUAAGAAUAUACCCAGUUAAACUGUUUCUCUAUUAUCCAGAAAGAUAUCAUGAUGUCCUAGAUUCUAUGUGAAUUUUAUUUGUGAGCAUUUAAAUUUCCCAUUGUCAUGUCUAUGUGUGCUUCUCACUCUGCAUGGGAUUUUAAAGAAACAAAACCUUGGCUGGGAUUCCAAAAGGAAUCUUUUUUUUUUUCUUCCCCCCGUGAGAAGCUAAGGAAUACAUACAUGGCCAAGGUUCAGAAGAGUUUUGAAACCUUUGAAAUAAUUACAUGUAAAAUUUUAUGUAAAUAUACAUUGUUCUGGUCCCUAGCUUUCAUCAUAUUAUCAAAGGAAAUCAAAAACUCCCCUGGAAGGUUGUAAACCCUGUUGAAGAGUGAGACUAGAAGUAGAACAAGGAUCUGAAGAGCACCAAUAUUUAAGGGACAAGUGGAAUAGGAGCCCAGAAAGAAGUCAGAGAAGGUGUAGUUAAUUAGAAUAUUGGAGGAGCGGGAGCAAAUGUAAUGUCAGAGAAACCAGUUCCUUAUUAAUCAGAGCUUUUGUGGUGUGUUGGGGGGCGGGGGGGGGGGGUGGUAAAUCCGGCAGUUCUCAUGGCGUUUCAUUGUGAUUCCUUGGAAAUUACCAAAUCUGCAGAUACAUUUAAUGUCUUGGGAUAAUAUUUUUCUUGACCUAUAAACAUGAAUUAAAAGUGAUUACUUUUCUUUUGCUGUCUCCUUCCUAUCUUGGACUUUGAUUUUUCUUUUAAUCCGUAUCCUUCACAGAUUAAAAGAUCAUUCUUUUUUUUCCUUUUUUUUUUCCUUCACCCCCUUCCUCUUCCCCUUCCCACUCCCAGACCGAUUCAAGGCAGGAGUAAAACAAUUAUGUAGGUUAUCUGUUAGCAGUUUUAUUGCAAGUAAGUAACCUGGCUUUUGUUUGUUGUUGUUGAGAAUGUAUUUAAGUCUUUUUAUUGUCCUUAACACUUUCGGCAAGUCUCUAUUUUUAUUGAAACAAUUUUAUUGACAUAUAGUUGUUAUACAAUAAAUGGCAUAUAUUACAAUGUGCAGUUUGUUAAGUUUUGACGUGUUUAUCCAUGAGACCAUCACCACAGUCAAGACACUAAACAUAUACCCCCAAAAGUUUUCUGAUGUCCCUUGAUAACCCUCCCCUGCAUUCUCUAGGCAACCAUUAUCUGUUUUCUUUUACUUUACAUUGGCAUGCAUGUCUUAGAAUACAAUAUGCACUCCUUUUGUCUGGCUACUUUCACCCAGCAUUAUUUGGAGAUUCAUCCGUGUUGUACCAUGCACCAAUAGUUACUCUUUCUUAUUGGUAAGUAGUAUUCCAUUGUAUGGAUAUACCACAUUUUGUGUAUCCAUUCACCUUUUGAUAAUCUAUUUGGGUUGAUUCCAGUGUUUGACUUUUAAAGUAAAGCUUCUAUGAAUAUGUAUGUACAUGUCUUUGUAUGGACAUAAACUUUUCAUUUCUCUGGGCAUACACCUAGGAGUAGAAUGACUGAAUCAUAUGGUAGCUAUAUGUUCUAUACCUACCUAGUUUCUUCUUAAACUGCCAGUGGUUUUCCAAAGUGGCAGUACCAUUUUACAUUCCCACCAGCAUUAUGCUAUCAUUUGGUGCAGUCAGUCUUUUUAAUUAUUGCCAUUCUAAUUAGUGAGUAGUGGUGGUUUUAAUUUGCAUUUCUCUAAUGACUGCUGAUGGUUAGCAUCCUUGCAUAUGUUUAUUUGCCAUCCCUUUCUCUUUUGGGAAGCAUCUGUUCAAAUCUUUUACCCGUUAAAAAAAUCUGGUUGGUUGUUUUCUUACUGCAUUCUGAGGGUUCUUAUGUAUAAAUCCUUUAUCAGAUUUAUGAUUUGCAAAUAUUUUUCCAGUCUAUGGUUUGUCUCUUCAUUCUCUUAACAAUGUCUUUUGAAGGGCAAAGGUUUUAAUUUUGAUAUCUAAUUUAUCAGUUCUUUUAUGGAUUGUACUUUUGGUACUGUAUCUAAAAAUGUUUUUUUUGCGUAAUUCAAGGUCAACAAAGGUUUUCUCCUGUGCUUUCUCCCUGUAGUUUUAGGUUUUCUAUCUAAAUAUAGUGAUCCAUUUUGAGUUAAGUUUUGAGUAUAGAAAACUUUUCUAUCUGGAUGUUCUUAAGACACCAUUUGUUGAAAAUUUAUCCUUUUUCUAUUGAAUUCCCUUUUCCCCCUGUGAAUAAUCAGUUGACUUUAUAUAUGUAGUAGUUCUAUUUUGGACUCGAUUUUGUUCCAUUGAGGUAUUUGUUGAUCUUGACACCAGUGCUGCACUGCGUUGAUUAUUCAGUGUUGAAAUCAUGUAGUCUUCCAAUUUUCUUUUUUUCAAAGUUAUUUUUGCUAGUCUAGGUAUUUUACAUUUCCUUAUGAAUUUUAGAAUAAGUGUCAGUUUUUUUAAAAAGCUUGCUUGACGUUUUGAUUGGAAUUGCAGUGAAUCUGUAGGUCAAUUUGGAAAGAAUUGACAUUUUAAAAUUAUUGAGUCUUCUGACCCAUGAACAUGGUAUAGCACUUGGUUUAGGGCUUCAUUAAUUUCUCUCAGUAAUGUUUGGUAGUUUAUAGGAUGCAAGUCUUUUAUAUUUUGGUCUCGUAUAUGCCUCUGUAAGUUGGGUUCUGCAGAGAAACAAUCAAUAAGGGUGCGUUGUGUGUGUGUGUGUGUGUGUGUGUGUGUGUGUGUGUGUGUGUAGAGAGAGAGAGACAGAGAGAUUGAUUUUAAGAAAUUGGCUCGUGAUUGUGGUGGGUGGCAAGUCCAAAAUUCAUAGAAUUGGCAGGCAGGAUGGAACCUUAGGCAGGAUUUCUCUUACAGUCUUGAGAUAGAAUUCCUUCUUCCUUAGGUUAUCUGGUUUUGCUCUGAAGGCCUCAUUUGAUUGGAUGAGGCCCACCCAUGUUAUGGAGGAGAGCUCUUUUUCUUAAUGUCAACUGAUUGUUAUCGUUAAUCACAUCUACAGAAUAGCAAUAGCUAGACUAGUGUUUGAUCAACUGGGCAGCAUAGCCUAGCCAAGUUGACACAUUAAAUUAACUAUUAAUAUCAUUGCAAUCCCUGAAUAUUUCAUAUUUUAAAAUACUUUUGUAAAUGGUAUACUUUUUUUUUUUUUUUUUGAGAUGGAGUCUUACUCUGUCACCCAGGCAGGAGUGCGGUGGCAUGAUCUCUGCUCACUGCAACCUCCGCCUCCCGGGUUCAAGCCAUUCUCCUGCCUCGGCCUUCUGAGUAGCUGGGAUUAUAGGCAUGCACCACCAUGCCCAGUUAAUUUUUGUAUUUUUGGUAGAGACUGGGUUCCACCAUAUUGGCCAGGCUGGUCUCGAACUCCUGACCUCCUGAUCCACCCACUUUGGCCUCUCAGUGUUGGGAUUACAGGCGUGAGCCACCGUGCCUGGCCAGUGGUAUGCAUUUUUAAGCUCAGUUUCUGAUUGAUGCUAGUUCACUAUUGCUUUUUAAAAAAUACUUUAGCCUUCUUUUCAUUAUUAAACUCAUAUGACUAGCAGCCUUUUCAUUUGAAAUUAGGAUUACCCUCUAUUUUUAGACGUAUCCUUUAAAAAUACGAAUUUUUUAAAGAAAAGUCCUAAUGUUGUUACUUAAUCUCUCACUUUUUUUUUUUUCUUUUUACUGGAAUCAUCUGACAGAAAUGGCAAUUUCAUUUCAAGAGUCUUGUCUUAUUUUUCUGGGCCAUGUUCUGGUUGUUUUUUUCAUCACAGGAUUGUAACAGUCCUUAAAUAUUUUAGAGAUUAAAAUUCUAGGUCAAUUUAGAGCAUAAUUGGCAAAAUAGACAUGUUACCAAAAACAGAGAUAUAGGAAGUUUGGGAGAGAAGUUAAGGUUCAUAUUUUAGGUAUGACCUUUAUGCUAGUCUCUUUCUUUGAUAAAGUCAUUUAAUUUCUUUGAGUCCUAGUUCCUCAUCUGUAAAGUAGAGUAAUAUCCACCUCCUGUGGAAUUGUCAUGAAGUUAAAUGAGAUGCUUUGUGUAAAGAGCCUGGACUAGUGCUGCUAAAUAGAUGCAGCUCCCUUUACUAUAUUUUUAUUUAUUCAGUAAAUAUUUGACACUCACUAUAUGCCAGACACUGUUCCAGACUCUGGAAUUAGAGGAGUGAAAAGAUAGGCAACAUUCCUAUUCUUACAGAGCCUCUAUGUUGGCUGUUCUGACAGAAGAGGAAGAUAAACAAGGAAAGGAAUAAACUAAACAAUUUCAGAUUGUAGUAAGAAGUGUAAAGAAAAUCAAAGAGUGCGUGGUAAUAAAGAAUUGCUGUGGUGAAAGCCCACUUCAGACUAAGUAGUCAGGGAAGACCUCUUUAAAAAGGUGACAUUUGAGUAGAAAUGCCCUUAGGAUUUUGGAGAAACUAGGCAUGUGAAGAUCUGAGUGAAAAAGUUUCCUGGCAGAGAGAAGAGAUAGUGCAAAGCCUCUAAAGUGAGAAAAAUGUGACAAAUUGAGAGAAUUGAAUGAAGCCUAGAGGUGCUGAUUGCAAGUAGUGGAGAAGUCAGAGAGGACCAGCUAGUGUAGGGUCUUACAAGCCACAAUAAGAAGAAUGGAUUUUAUUCUAGGUGCAGAGAGAAGCCACUGGAGGGUUUUAAAACAGAGGUGUUGUGAUCAUUAGAUGGAAAUGUUGCUGUGGACUUUCAGAAAUGUGAACUUAGCUGUGAAACGUUAGCAAACUAAAUACUAGCAACUUGGAUUUCUAGUUGGCCAAGAAACAUGAGGGUAAACAAUUUAUUUUCCCUGAUUAAAAAAAAUCCCAGCAAGUCUCUAGCAAAAGCAAGUCUAGGUUAUCUAGAGCAAAUACCAUUUUAUAUCUUUUUAAUUUUACUAAGACUUGUUAUGCAAUUAUAGAUGUUACAGAUGUUUUCAAAAAUAGUGCUUUGUGGAUUGUUUUCCUUUUAUGAGUCCAUGUGGCAAUUGACUAGCAUAGCAGUAAAAAGUACAACUCUGGUUUCAGAUACGAGCAUGAUGAUUGAUCACAUAGAAGCAUUAAGUUAAUAUUAACAAGGAUCUAUUGCCAGAAUAUAUUUCAUUAUAGGAUUUUGAAAUUAUUUAGCUGAAUGGACCUUAAGAGUUGGUCUUUUUUCCUUUAUAGAAGAGGGAACUUAGAUUCAAAGGGGUUAAGUGAUUCACAUUAUUUAAACAUUUAAAAAAUAAACCUGGAUUUUACUAUUCUUCUAGUUGUAGGAUGACAGGUUCUUGAGGCAAAAUGUGGAAUGAGAGAAGAUAGUGACAUCUGUUUGCUUUGUAUCUGCUGCCUUCUCUGUUGCUCAUUUAUUUUACAUCUAUGCUGUUUCACACUUAUCUUUGGACUUAGGGUAUUGGGAUGUGUCAAACAGUUGCUCCCUUAGUGUGGAAACAGACAAGUAAACACAGUUGCUACACAAGUUGCAGGCAUCAUAUGAUAAAGGCAAGCUUAGUGUGUUGUGGAGGGCAUGAUGGGUGUGUCUGUUAAGUGUCCCUGUUUAGAGUCUGUUUACAUACAGAGUUGAAUGUCCUUGGCUUCUCAUUUCAAUUUAAUAUAUAUUAUAUUGCCUUGGCUGUUAGGCCUUUCUUGCACUUGUUUGCCUCCCAGCCAUAAGCCAGUUUGAAGGCCAUGAUCCAUCAGGUCUAGUGGGUUAAUCCAUGUCUGACCAGUAAGACCUACCUAUCUUGACAGUCACCAUGAUGACAGCAUGUCUUAUUUUAAAUAGAAACCUGGUUAGAGACUAAUAUAAGAAUAGUUGGUCUUGAAUAGAUGUAUUCCUUCUCUUAAGCGAGGUAGGUUUUAUUAAGCGUUGUAUUUUGAAAAAUCCUGAAAGGAAAUUGAGAAACAGCUAUCAUUUUGUUAAUUUUGGCUCCUUUUACUGUAUUUUAUUUUGAAGUAUAGCCAUUCCUAAGAACGCUAGCACAUGAGUUCAUUGUUGAUGUUAUAACAUAUUCUGAAUCUUAAAACAAGGUACCAAAAAUACAUUCAUAGAACAAGUAGAUAAAGUAGCACUACUAUAAUUAGGGAAAAAUGGUAGUUUUCUUGUAAGCCCUUUCUCUUUCAAGAGCUUAUAAUUUUCUGUAAAAACCAAACAUUAUCCUUUGGGCACGUGUGUUUUAUUCUUUCUCUUGAUUCUGUGUUAUAAAGUUUGAUUAAAAAGGAAAGAUAUUAACUUUUUGUCUCCCACACAAAGAAUGUUCAUAAUUGUAAUUUUUGGGUAUGACUUGUUGCCAUACCCUUGAGCCUCCCUUUGUUUAAAGAGUAAUAAUAUAUAUAUUUUUUAAUCUAUAAAGAAGUAUCUUUGACGUGUGUGUGUGUGUGUGUGUGUGUGUGUGUGUGUGUGUAUAAAAUCAAAACGGCAUACCUUUUUGAGAAUAUUUAGUGAUUCCUGAAGACUAUAUUAUAGUUGUAUAAAGAAUUAGAUGGCAGGCCAGGCACGGUGGCUCACGCCUCUAAUCCCAGCACUUUGGGAGGCGGCUGAGGCAGGUGGAUCAACUGAGGUCAGGAGUUGGAGACCAGCCUGGCCAACAUGGUGAAACCCCGUCUCUACUAAAAAUACAAAAACAUUAGCUGGGCGUGGUGGCCCACACCUGUAAUCCUAGCUACCUGGGAGGCUGAGGCAGGAGAAUCACUUGAACGGGGAAGCGGAGGUUGCAGUGAACUGAGAUUGCGCCAUUGCACUGCAGCCUAGGCAACAACAGUGAAACUCUGUUUCAAAAAAAAGAAUUAGAUGGCAAUAGCUUUAGCAAUCUAAUGUGGUAGGUGAUCUGGUAUUAUCUGUCUCUUUGGUCACAUGAGGAUAAGGCUGCCCAUCUCGGUUAUCCAUGUCCUGGGCCUUAGGAAGAAGGCAGCCAGAAUCUUAGAAAUUUGAACUGAGAAAAUUGAACACAAGUUAGCAGCCUAAAAUAUAAAACUGAUAUAAAAAUACAACCAGAUUGUGUAUGAAUUAUUGUUUUCUCAUCUUUAUUUUGUGCAGAUCAAGAAACUGAACUUUGCAAGUAUUUUCUGUGAAAGGGUGAAUAAGCUAUCCAAAGUGAGUGAUUUUAGCCUGUGUAGAAAACAUCUCCAGCUGUGUUAAAUAUAAAGCUGUCAGUUCUUUGAAUAUCUCCUUGCAAUAAUUAAUCAUCCUUCUCAGUUAACAGCACAGACAGUACAGCACAGGUAAGAGAGUAGGCUCUGAAGCCAGUCUACCAAUGCUCUUGUGACUCUGGGUACAUUGCUUUCUGUCUCUCAUUUCUCAUUUACAAAAAGAGGAUAGAUAACACUAGUACCUACCUAAUAGUGUUGUUAUGGGGAUUAAAUUAGUUAAUAUAUAUAAAACACUUAGAACAUUGCCUCAGAGAUAGUAAGCACCAUGUAUUUACUGUUUGUUGCUGCAUAUCUAUAAUACGAUUGAUUGACUGAUUGAUUGAGACAGAGUCUUGCUCUGUUGCCCAGGCUGGAGUACAGUGGCAUAAUCUUGGCUCACUGCAACCUCUGCCUCUAGGGGUUCAAAUGAUUCUCCUGCCUCAGUCACCUGAGUAUCUGGGAUUACAGGUAUGUGCCACCAUGCCCAAUUAAUUUUUGUAUUUUUAGUAGAGACAGGGUUUCACCAUGUUGGCCAGGCAGGCUGGUCUCGAACUCCUGGACUCAAGUGAUUUGCCCGCCUUGGCCUCCCAAAGUGCUGGGAUUACAGGCAUGAGCCACUGCGCCUGGCUGUAUAAUACAUUUUAAGUGGCUGGUUUUAUUAGUUAAGUUCUCUCAGAGAGUUUGGCAUUUGAACUGGUCCUUGAAGGAUAAAUAGGAUUUGUAAAAGUGAAACAUAAAGAAUUAAAAAUGGUAAAAGCUAUGUGAAUUAAGUUGUUAAGAGGAAGUAAAGAAUCUUUGUUUCCAUUUAUUGCAUACUAGCUAUGUGCCUGCCUCUGAGCUUAGCAUUUGAUGAUCAUUACAUUAUCUUAUUCAAUCCUCAUAAUAACCCUCCAAGAUAGGUAUUUUAUUUUAUUUAUUUUAUUUUAUUUUAUUGAUACAGAGUCUUGCUCUUGUCGCCCAGGCUGCAGUGCAGUGGUGCGAUCUCGGCUCACUGCAACCUCUGCCUCCCAGGUUCAGGCUAUUCUCCUGUGUCAGCUUCUCGAGUAGCUGGGAUUACAGGCGCCUGCCAUGAUGCCCAGCUAAUUUUUGUAUUUUUAGUAGAGACAGAGUUUCACCAUGUUGGCCAGCCUGGUCUCGAACUCCUGACCUCAGGUGAUCCACCCGCCUCAGCCUCCCGAAGUGCUAGGAUCACAGGCAAGAUAGGUAUUUUAAAUUGUCAUUUAACAGAUGGCAAAUAGCCACAGAAAAGUAAAGCCACUUUUUCAAACUCACAAAGUCAAAUGUUUGGCCUAGUUCUGUCAGACUGUAAAGCCCAUGCUUUUAAUUGGUAUCUAAUACUGCUUUCCUAUCAGUAGACUAUCAGAUUAUCAUUCCUAAAGAUAUUUAAAAGAAUGGGUGCUCUAGGGUUGGAGUUCAAAACAUUAAUAGAAUUAUACUAUUAAGGUUGCAUGUGAUCACUUUGCUGCUGUGAGAGACUCUGGAUGCUGUGUUUGCUGGUCAUUUCAAAGGCUGAAGAGAAACAGACAUGCCUGUCCUUGCCAAAUACAUUGUUUCCCCUAUCAUUCUGUCACUAUGGAAGUACUUGUUUUUUCUGACCUGGGAAUAAUGGUAUUGUGGUUAUUGGCGUUUUUGUUACCUUUCUUACUAGAAAUUAUGCAGAUAUCCCCAAUUAUAUCCAGAUGCACACCUUAUAUUCCAAAUUUUGUUGCCUGGGAUUGACUGAGUACCCUUUUGAGUUCCCUGCAUCAGAGACGUGUUUACAGUUGUGCUUCCCAGUCUUCAGCAUUUAUGGUUUCAUGUUUGUCAAAUUUGUUUGAAGUAUAAAAACGAUAAUCUUAAUUCUGUUACUGAUCAUUCCUUCAUUCUCUAGCUAUUUGUCACAUCAUCUUUCUUUUGAAACGUUUAGGGAAUUAAGAAAUUAAUAAUUUUAUACUCAUUCUUUUUCCACUCACAUAUCUCACUGGCUUUGUUCAGAAUUAAAUUGUUUUUGGUCCCUGUGUACUAUUUCCUUCUAUUAAUUAACUGACGGUUGUUUCUCUCUUCUGUGUUUUUGAUGCUUUUUUUUUUCUUUUACUGUUUAAAACUUUUUCAGAAGAUGUAGCGAGUGACUCAGGUGCUAGCUAGUGUUACUGAUUUCCCCCCCAUGUUAGUUAAUACCAUGUCAAAUAUAACUGAAGAACUCUGUUGUACUCACAGAUUAUGCCCCUCAUGGUCAGCAGACUAUUCAGAUACAGACUUUCAGGGGGAAGGUUUUCAAAAAAGUGUGGCUGCAAUCUGUAAAUGCUUUUAACAUCUGCACAUUGCAUUACUGUUUUCAAAUGUUUUUGUACCACAUAAUUUUAUUUAAUAUUCACAACUAUUCUGUGAGAGCUUUAUUCUUUUAUGUUGUAGGGUUUUCUUAUUUUACAGAUUGGGAAACUGGUGUGGAGCGGUUAAAUGACUUACUCAAGAUUACAUAGCUAGUUAUAAGUGGAAGGACAAGGAUUUGAAGGAACAGGUGUGGCCUCUUCCAGGAAACAGUAUAAAUAGUCAGACUUUAUGAAGGAUAAAUUGGUAGGAGAGUCAUUUAUCUCACUUGUCUGUAAAGAGGAUUCUUUUUCUCAAGUAGAGCGUGAAGUAGAUUAUUUACUAGAAAAGCUUGAAAAUGCAUUUCAGAAAAUUAAAACUGCUUUGAAAUUAGGUGCAUAAUAAGAAUUGCUUCAGAGCCUGGCAUCCGUUGGACAUUAUACACAUAUUCUCUGUCAAUGAGGUUUACAGUUAAGGUCUCUUCAAUCCUUAUUUUCUGAAAUCUCUUUUUGCUUAUAUAUUGAGACUGAAGUUAGCAAUUUUCCUCCAGGUGUGGACUUUGAAAAUUAAAUAUACUUAUUGAAACGUAGGUUGCGUUUAUAUAGUGCUACCCUCCAGGAUUCUUGGAAAUUUAAAUGUAUUAUUGUAUGUAUGAAUCAUGGAACGCACUAUAGAAUCUAUAGUGGUUAUCAGUUUUGUUUUGGGUGUAGUUCAUGGUGUUUAGUUAAGUCUCUAAAGCAGAGUUUAGGAUCUCUGCCUUUCAGUUAUCUGAGUGCUGUGGGGCUACAUACCCACUCAGAUUCUCUUGUUCUAAGUGGUCUUAACACUCAGUUAGCUCUAUGUGUUGGUGGUGACAAAUUUUACUAUAUUUAUGACCUAGGUCUUUGAGUGGGCACUGUUUCAAGAAUCUAGGAAGGUACUGGCUACUAUUCAACUCACUGUCGGUUUCAAUUAUGGUCAGAGAAUUUUGAAAACAAAAAUUCUGAAUGCCCUAUAGUUUAAUAAAAAGUAGUUGAUCCUUUUGUUCAAAGCACUGUCCCACUUCACCUCCCCUCUAGGUUUGAAGCAUUCCUAUGCAGACAGUUUACCGACAUGAUAAACAAAAUUAUCCAUUCAUGCAUCCUAGGAUUUUAAUGUUACCAUCGCCCUCCACUCAAAAUGCAAUAUGCAUUUAGUCUGUAAUAGCAUCACUCCAUUUUAAGUGAAUAGUUGUUUCAGCUUUGAUUUGUAAUCACAAUUAAGGUAAAUUAUCCUUGUUUGCCUAGGACUGUCCUGGUUUUAAAACUCAAAAUCUCUUGUCCAAGGAACCCUCACAGUCCCGGACAAACCAGAACAAUUUCUUAAAAUACUAUUUAGGAAAACUGGUCACCCGAACGGCAAGGCUGUGUUGUUGAUUAGGCUUUAGGCAUGUUAUUGAGACUAUAGACUAAGCUCAGAUCAAUGGUUUUGAAGAUUCUGUAUGGGUCAGGAUUACCUGGAGUACUUGUUAAACAGACUGCUGGCUCCCAUCCCCCUAGUUUGGAUGGAGUAGGUCUGUGGUGGGGGUCUGAGAAUUACUUUAGUAACAGUUGCCUAAGCCAUGCUGACGCUGCUGGUUAGGAGAGUGCAUUGAGAACCACUGGCCUAGAUCAGGCUGUGUGCUGUGUGAGUAUAUGAUGAUGCUUGGUUCAGAAUUGUGGAGAAAGGGGAGCUGUGUUUCUCUGCCUCACAGGUCUAAGCACCAAUAACACCAAAGGGUAUUUGUAUCUGAACUGUGCUCAUACAGCACAAGAAGAGACGUGCUCCUGUUAGAGGUGACAGAAGUAGGGGAAGGAUUAAAAACAGUCUAGCUGUCAAAUCCUUCACAGUAUGGAUAUAUUUUGAUUGUUUAUAGUAUCUUAGGCAAACUUUGAUUUGAUAAUUAAUUUGAGUCUUAUAGUCACAACAUCUGAAAUGGAUACUUCAGAAAGCAGAUAUUCAUUAUUAUAGCAGAACUGAUUAUAGCUGGGUUUAGCAGGGAUAAUGGUACCCAUCUUGCCUACUUCUCAGUUAUCACUGUAAAAAUCUAGUUACAUAAAAGGUGUGAGCAUGCGGUACAAAUAAGAUGUCAUGGUGAUGAUUAAAGUGUACUUUGUUGUUGGACAGUAUGUUUCACAGUGCUUUCAUCUUCAUGUUCCAUUUGGUUGUUUUCAGGUGUCUUCAGAAUUCGGCAAAGUAGAUGGGACUGCAGACGUUACCAUUCCCUGUGACUCUUGCUACGAUCUUACAGACUUCAUUGUGCUGGGCUUAGAUGUCUUCAGAGUCACCAGGUACUUGGUUGUUCCUAGAUAGUGGGCCUGCCUGAUCAGGAUUUGGUAUUUUUCCCACUGAAUUAAAAUUGUUUUGCCUAAGCCUCAUUUUGUGUGUCAAGAAAAUAAAGGCAAAAGAGUAAGUGCUGUGCUCCUAAUCCACAGCUAGCUGGUAGUCAGCAGCCUGGGAGGCUGAGUCUCUGGUCUCCUAGUCUCAACCUUCUAGGCAGUGAGCAUUGUUAAUCACAGAACAGGCCCUCCUUGGACUCCUUGGCUUGCUCGUCUUUGUUUCUCCCAGGGCCUAGCGUUCACAUCCACACACAUACUACAUACGUUUCUGCAUGUGUGCAUGUGCAUGUCAGGGAAACCACAAUUUGUUCUCAGCUCCUUACUCAUGUGAGCUUAGCGAAAUCGUUUCUCCAAUCUGUACCUUCUUCUUCAUCUGUAAAAUAGAAUUAUCAUCUGCUCUGCUACUACCCUUAAAAGUAGUUACUGCAUAAGGAUGAGAAAAUGUAUAAAAACACUUUGAAGCUUUUGUUACAAAGGGCAGUUAGUAAUAAUGAGUAAAUGAUAAAUAAGCCUUAUAGAACAGGAAGCCUUUUCAUCUUUCUGUCCUAAACACCCUUCUAUUUUAUAAAUUUUUCAAGUAGAUUAAGUUUAUUAAUUUAGAUAAUGUUUUCUUUUUCUUUUUGUCUCUGCUCUAUUUAUUUAACAUUGGAUAUAUAGAGAAUGGUAAUUAUUAUUGAAUGGAUUGAAAACAAGAAUAGAGUCUCUUUGGGAGUAUCUGUGUUUUUUGUUUUUUUUUUUUUCCAUGUAAUUGGGGGCAUUUUCUGCUCCAUGGUCGGUUUCUGGUGGUUUGUGAAUUCUUGCCUUCUGCCAAGUGUUUUCUCCCUGUCACCACCCUGCUACUACUCUUUGUGUUUACCUUCCCAGCUGCCCUGCCUUAUUUCAGAGUUCAGAGUCAAAUUGUAGCCAACCAUUUCUGACAGCCUUCCUAGACAUCACUGAAUUUCAGCUAAUUAAUAGAUUUAAGGGAUGCGAAAUCUAGGCCAAUUCAGAAUUUUACUUCAUUUGAGGGUUUUUUUUCCAGAAUAUUUAUCUUAAGUUACAAAAUGUUGUUUCCUGUUAAUUGUUUUCUUAUGUAUUCUGGUAAAAUUUUAUAAACCCAGUAAAACUCUCUUACAACAAUACUCUUGGGAGAUAAUGGCUUGUAUUCGUUCUGGAUUGUCACAUAGGAAGAGAUGUGUUUAGGUAUCUAACUUGGUUUCAGCAUUGUACUUGAGACAUCUGUGGUAGGACAGAAUCUGUGGCAAAUGUGGCAUGGCAUACAUUAUAUAUGGAUAUUCAUAAACUGCUUUUGAUAGAUUGACAAACAUUUCCAGUUACUGAACCAGUAGCACUGUUCCAGUCAGUAGCUCAGUAAUAUCCAUUUUUUUGUCUGUACAGCAGAUUGUAUGUAUGCAUGUGUGUUUUGCCCAUUUUUAUAAAAAUGUGUUAAAAGUAAAAUGCUAAUGCUGAUAGAAAAUUGACCCGCAAAUAUGUAAUGUUUUUGACAAAGAUGGAAAUCAUAAAGCAUGCCAAAAAUGGUAAACCUUUAGCUUCAGCUAUCCCCUCAUUAGACUUUACCUUCUUACUGUGUAUUAUUACAAAGAUUGUGUCUAGAAGAUACUUUAUAAUGAUAGAAGGUAUUUUAUAAUAGGGUUUCUUAUCACAUAUACUUAAUAUUCAACUUCUGUACAUUUAAUUUUCAUGUUUCCUCAAGAAUAUAUUAUACAAAGUCAUAGCAUUUGACAAAAUUCCUUCAUAACUCUGAAGAAAAUAUUCUAUGUAUUGUUUGUGUGAGUUAAAUACAGUGGCUCUGAUAAAAAUGUCUUUUGAUCAGUCUUUAAAAAAAUUAAACUGAGGACAGGAAGGUAAAUUAAAGGGGAGAUUUGGAGACUUGUGGUAACUGGUUUAUUGCAACUUAAUGUGCAGCAUCCUCAUUAGUCAAGUAUCAUGUGCCUACCUAGGCAUGAAAUAGCUAUUUUUUUCCUGAUUUAAAUCUGGAAAGUUUCAGUUGUAGUACAGUUUGAAUAGUUGUUGUUGUAAAUAGCCACUGGACUUUUUAAAAAAGUAUUUUUCUUCAAAAACAGUGAAGGUCAUCUUGUAUCCAUAGAGACCACAUGUACUUUCCUCAUUAUUUCCAGCAUUAUUUAUAUAAUGGGUAGAGUUAUUUACAACAUUAAACAAAAAGUAUUUCAGAGAGCAACCGUUAAAUAUUAUCACAGGGUAAAUAUCAGCAACUGAAAUCCUUUUCUCAUAGUUUCUCAAAAAAUUUGGUAUUAGGAAAUUAAUAGUCUCUCAGAAUUUGUAUAUUGGUUUUCUUCAGUAGUUAUUCUGUAGAGUGUGUGUGUACAUAUGCAUGCUCAUGUAUGUAUGUAUGUUCAUUUCUUAAAUCAUUUCAUAAAUCACUGUGACUUAAUUGUGGACUUUAAUUGUUUUCAUAGUUUUUUUCCCCAAAAGAAGGUUACUUUACAUAUUUUAUUUUAUUUUUAUUUUUAUUUUUUUUGAGACAGGGUCUCACUCUGUCGCCCAGGCUGCAGUGCAGUGGCAUGAGCUCAGCUCACUGCAGCCUCCACCUCCCAAGCUCAGGGAUCCUCUUACCUCAGCCUCCCGAAUAGCUGGGACCGCAUGCACCACCACACCCAGCUAAUAUGUUGUAUGUUUUUAGAGGUAGGGUUUUGCCACUUAGCCCAAGGCUGGUCUUGAACUCCGGGACUCAAGCGAUCUACCCAUCCACCUGCCUCGGCCUCCCAAAGUGCUGUGAUUAUAGACAUGAGCCACUGUGCCUGGCAAUUUUACAUAUUUUAAAUUAAAGCAAAUCUUGGUUUUUGAUGGAAUGCAGAUUUACUUAUAUUUCACUUAGUCUUUUUCCUUUCUUUCAGAAAAGUGGUGUGGAAACAAAAUGGUUUUAGUAUAUUGCCUUAUAAACAAAUUUAAGAUCAUGAGUUUCUUUUAUUAUCCUCUUUGUUUUGCUCAUUUCCUUGAACUGUACAUCCCUAACCUAAAUCAGCUGGAGACAGGGGAAGAAAGUGUUAGAUUCUUACUCAGUUUAGAUCCUCUGCCAGGAAAACCCACUCUAUUCAUUGUCAACUAAAUUAACGCUUUUUUAAAUAAAAGGAGUCAUUUUUAACAAUAACGUCAGGGCAGCAGGCAUCCAUGAAAUGUAUGGUCACUGAUCAUUAGGGUUAUCAUUCUAAUGUGUUUACUAUUUUGAAACUCUAGGGAGAAGAAAACUUAUUUUUGCAUAUGUUGGAAAAAUGUAUCCUCAUGUAGGAUAUCAGGGUAAUAUCUUUAAUGUUUCAUACUUACCAAGAUAAAUUUGUAAUGCGUAUUUUCUUUUAAAAUUAGAUUUAUUUAGGAGAAAUUGCACUUGGUGAACCACUUUCUCUUUAAUUAUUAGCAUUAACUUUAUCAUUUUUGUUUCAAGAUGUCACAGCUAUUGUUCAGCACUAGAAAUUAUAUAAAUUAUUAGCUGAAGAUGAUGACUGGCAACAUUUAUGUCUGUUCCUCCUCUUAAAUUUCUUGUUCAGAAAGUCUGUUGUUGUAAACAUCC